UUUAUAUUGACCGUUUCUAUUUUUUCAGACUGCCAAGUCUGUUGGUGUGUGUAGCGUACCGCAUACUUACCGGUGUUCCUAAUGCGCUCGGUAAAAUGAGCAAUCCCAUAAGCCGUUAUACGAAUUAACGAUGAAAUGUAUCGGAAGAUAAAUAAUAAAUUAGGGUCAUAACUAUUAGUGAUCUGGAAGCCAACACACGUAUAUUUAUUCUAUAAAUCUAUAUCAAACUCCGAAGCAUACCGUGAAGUGUGAAAACAUAAAAACUGGCGACGAGGAAAAGUGUCUCUCAUACGGAAUAAUCCCUGUAGCAAGGAAAUUUCAGAGUGAGCUGAAAAUCUUCCCCGCUCCCACCGAUUUGGCCAUUUUACAUUCUGCCGUGGGACCAUUGUUCGAAAUCGCAAUAAUUGUCAUCAUUCGCGAGAAUUGGCUACUCACAACACUGAGAUACCAUUUGACAAGUGAUCAGCGGAGAGUGUGUUACCAUUCGUGUGAGCAGAGAACUUCAGAGCGUGAGCUAGUGUUGGGAGAAACGGGAGAAACGUCAGGCUGGAGAAAAUAUUUCUCGCUGUGACUGAGUGAGUUGUGAGAAAGGCUUCACUGGCUGUGUCUCACUCACCAAUGUAAACAACAACAGUUAGUGGAUAAGUGCAACUGUUUGGGUUCUAAUAUCGAUAAAACAAAAAGAGUGUAUCAAGUGAGUUUUGUUUUCCGUUGUUUGCAAAUUUUGCAACAUGCCUUCAUUCGGAACGCUAGACCAUUACGUGCAAGGACGACGAUCAUGGCACACCGAAAUCAAUUAAAACUGGCUCAUUCUCAGGUCCGAGGCUCGUUAGUGCUACUUCCGGAAGUCAAUCCGAGGAAACGCCGUCGGACAGAGUCAGGAGAUUUUCACGGCUAUACGGUAUCCGAGGCCGAAGAGGAGCCUUUCCUGGGUUUCCCAGAGGUGAUGAAUGAUCUGAACACAACCAGAACGAAACAACAGGAAACGAGCGAUAGCCUGAUCAUGACCAGGAGUCGCGCUCGAAAAGUUCGACGUAAAUUUGAGCAUUCUGAGUUUGAUGAUAAACAAGCGCGCAGCGCGUUCGAUUCUCAGUGAAUUUUGUGUAAAUAAUACAUUCGAAAAUGUAGUUAGUAAAUUUAAAAAUAAAAUUAGUUAAAGCUAUUCUCGGAUUAGAAUUUUGUCAUGUAUAUAGCAAGGUACUUGAGCAGGAAGGACUGUAGCGUACCGCAUACUUACCGGUGUUCCUAAUGCGCUCGGUAAAAUGAGCAAUCCCAUAAGCCGUUAUACGAAUUAACGAUGAAAUGUAUCGGAAGAUAAAUAAUAAAUUAGGGUCAUAACUAUUAGUGAUCUGGAAGCCAACACACGUAUAUUUAUUCUAUAAAUCUAUAUCAAACUCCGAAGUAUACCGUGAAGUGUGAAAACAUAAAAGUGUGAUCCUUAGAAAGGGCUUUAUGAAGUCUUGCUACAACAGGUAAAUUUUCUACCUGCUCACAGGUGAACUUCCAAUCCCUUCUCUUAGAUUUACGGAUUUCUUUAUUAUAUUCUGUCAGACAGUUUUUGUAAUCUGUCCAAUCAGAGGUAAUUUUUGCUUUGUUGAAGAGUUUUCUAAACAAUUUUCUAAGCCUUUCAAGUUUUUUGUUCCACCAAGAUGCAUCCUUACUUGAAGUUUUUUGCUUCAGUGGACAGUUUUCUUCGAAGGUUGAUUUAAUAUUGAUUUCAAAUUCUGAUGAAAAUAUUUCAAGCUGUUUAGUGGAAGAAAUACUUUCUACUAAUAUCAAAAUAUUCUCCUGAAGUUUGGAAUGAUAACUAUAUGGGCAUUGGCGUUACAUACAACCAUCCUCCUUUUUUGGGGCUUUGGAGCCACUGGUUCUCAAUAGUUUUAGGUUCUUUUUCGGACAUGCUACUAUAGAGAUCCGUCAUUUGCAGGCUUAGUUGUGCGAUAUACCGUUGCAGCUGUGCCGAACGAUCGACACGCGGUUCGAAUUGGGUUACCGUUACAAAUUACAAAUCAUCAUUACUGGUGUGCGCGAUAAGUAUAGUAAAGUUUAUUAUGUUAUGGUUAAGAAAAAAAAACAAACUUUCGAAAAAUUACGAUAAAGUGUAUAUCUGCGACAUUCAAGAAUGACAAAAGGGAGAGAAACCGUGGACAUGGAAAUUGUAUCAACUGUCUUCCCCUCCCUAGCUAUGGGAGCUGGAAAUUCGCUUAAACGCGUUCCCACCUUGGAAGAUGUCUCUUCAGAGAAAGAGUCAACCCAUCUCAGUAAGCGUUCCUCAAGAAAAUUCGAUAACCUUUCCUCUUCACCCCUCCAUCUUCCGCUCCCGCUCAACCCCUGAUCUUGAUUCCUAACCCUGCUGUUCUCUCUCCCGCUCAACCAUCGACCUCGUCUUCCCCUUCUGUAGUUGUGUUCUAUGCCCGUGUCACUACUUUAUGGUGGACAAACUGAGGCUACCGGUGCGACUCUUCGUGUCGAAGCCCAUGAUUCGCCAAAAAUGCAAGUUAGUUGGUCACACAGCAGCUUAUUGUACCAACAAGCAGGGUUGUGCCGCUUGCGAAGUGCAACAUAUGGGCGAACCCUGCAGUGCGACUGAGCAAAAGUGUUCACAUUGCAAAAGUGUUCCCAUACGUUCUCUCAGUUUGUGAAACUUCGCAGGGAAGUCGCUCUUUGAAGAAACGUUCGAAGCGCGGAAAUUUUGAAAGGCGUUUCUCCACUGGUUCAACAACAACAACAACAACCAUUAACUACAAACAAUGUCUUCUCUUCGCUGCCAGCUAACGACUCGAAGCUGUUGCUUGUCAUGUAAACAUCAGAGGCAAAGACCUCUGUAUUGUUAACUUGUAUUGUAUUAUUAUUAAACUAUGACAGUUUUGAACACUGCAUAAAAACCACGUGUACCUAAACCUCCAGCCAACUUAAGUGCACUUGACCUUUUGCUUUGCUCGUUAGAUUGCAAAUGAAAUAUAAUCCAGGAUCCCAACGGUAGUGAUGAUUUGCCAAUUAAAAUACCUAUCACCAGUGUUGCCACACGUACAUAUUUAUCUGGGAAGGUACAGAUUUUUUUUUGUUAUUUUUUGUACAGAUACUGUACGGUACAGAGUACGGAUUUUCGUCAAAAAGUACACACUGGUACAGAUUUUUUCCGCGUGUGAAAUGUCUUACAUUUGAACAAAGCAACAUUAAUGUACAUGACGACUUUUUCGCCGCAGUUGCUUUUUUGGAUUAUGUUUUGCCCCAGAUCAACAGAAGGAAUCGUUUGUUCCAGGCUGAAAAACCUAAAUUCACGAUGCUACAUGAAAAGCUGUGAGAUUCUCAUUUGAUUAUUCUCACUAAUAUCUGUGAAGAAUCUUACGCUGUUUUAAUGUCCGAUGCUAUUAAAUUUAAAGGUCAUUCAGUAAGAAUGUAAGAAUAAGAAUUUUCAGGUUGGAAUGGCAGCAGAAGAAACUAUCAAAACAAUGGACAGCGAAAGGUAGAUCAUUUCAAGGGAUAUUUGUCGCAGUUAUUUCGUGGAGCUGAUCAUACAAAUGAGAAAAGGAUUCGAAUUUGAUGAUUCGACGCUCAAGGCUGCGACAAUGUAAAACCCCAGAUAAUAAAAAAUAAAAUGAAAUUACUCCGAAAGGAAAUCACAGUUUCAGAAAACGAGCAUGUGCAGGUUUGGUGGAUAAAAAUUUUAUGCCUAAAAAAGAAUUGACGACUCGAAUUUUCGGCGCUUAUAUGCCUUGUUUGUAACACUCUCACUAUGCCUCACUCCUCGGCAAUUGUCGAGUGAUUUUUUCUAAAUAUAAUCAGAACAAACAUAAGUUUCGAAAUCGGCUCAGCAACGAUACGAUAAACGCUAUUUUGAGAUCAAAAGAUUUGAUUAAACAUCAUGGUGGAAGCUCAAAAAUUUUAAUAUAUUAUAGUAUGCAAUCUAGAUUCAUAAAAACUAUGUAUAAGCAUCAUCAAACACUUGAAAAUGACUUGCAAAUUAAAUGUAGUAUUUGUAGUAAAUA